CAUUUUUCUUCCCCCCAUCAUGUCUCACAGGGGAGUCUUAAUUGGAGCAGUUGCCAGUUUCUAUCUCAGCCUGAUGAGGUCUCCACAUUCCUGCUUGCAGCUGCUCUUCCAAGGCUGAUGUUUUAACACCUGGUUCAAUAUUUACCUGUGAGGGCCUCUCGAGCUUCCCCGACAUUAUUCCCGGAAUGAAGCUGUCCAGCAAAUGACGCUCUGGGGACUGCUAUUAAGCACUCCAAACACCGAUCACUCAGUACAUGUGGACCUUUCCAGAAGCAUUCUUCUAGGUCACAGCUGGAAACAGCUGCAGAGGGCACUAGCUAACUUGAGAUUUGGACCUUUUUGAUUCAAUACUGAUCUGUCCUGAAAAAGGAGCAGCACCCCAGUGACCCUCAAAUUUGACCUAAAGUGUAGAAGGCCAAAGAUAUGAUGUUUCCUACAUCCUGAUCCCGAGGGUAAAUUGAGAAGCUGGGUGUGGAAACUAGAAAGGAGGAAGAUCACUUAAUUAGACCAAGAGUAAUGGGACAGAUAUGGUGAAGAUGAUUUCAGAACUUUUAUUUCCUUUUGCUUUUUCUUUUUUCUGGCUGGUAGAGAAAAAGAGAGCAACUGUACAUCUCACUUCUAGUCAGAUUAGAGGAAACACUGGCAAUUUUGGUCUGUCUUCAUGCUGGAGUCCAGAAUACUUUUUUGGAAAGAGCAGCAGUGGACACUACAAGCGCUAAUGUAAUUUCAGCCUAUUUUCAGAAUCCUGGACUCCACUACUGCAACUUCAGCUUUCAAAGGGGAACUUUUGCCUUUUCUGCAAGGGUCCAAGACUCUGGGCUGCUUCCUGCGCAGCUCUGUGCUAGGCCACCAUACACAUUAAUCUUCUUCCCUUUCUUACAUUUAUAUUAUGACCUAGCUUUUAGUAUAGGGGGUGACACUAAACAAGUAUUUAUUAAUACUCUUUUGGUCUCUGUCUUUUUAUCUUUCCAUUCCCGUUUUCAUGAUUUUUGUUUUCUCUUUCUCUCUCCCUCUCCAUCCUCCUCUUUCCCUCCCUUCUCCUUCCAUUCUCUAAUUCUCUUCUCUCCCUGUGUGUCUGUUUGUAUCUGCCUAUCUUUCUGACUCAUUCUCUCUGUCUCUGUCUCUGUCUCUGUCUCUGUCUCUGUCUCUCUGUCUCUGUCUCUCUCUCUCUCUCUCUCUCUCCCUUUCUCCCUUUCUCCCUUUCUCCCUUUCUCCCUUUCUCCCUUUCCCCUUUCAGCUAGUUGAAUUUCUACCCCUGAUUUAAAACCCAACUCAAAUUCUAUUCUCUCAGAAGCUCUUUGUGAACUCACAGGUAGGAACGAUCUUAUUCCUGAAACUCAUAGAGUGGUUCCUUUAGCAACUCUCUAAAAUACUUUUCAUGUAAUAAUGUGCAUUAUAGUUAUUUGUGAUUUUUCAUCUUAACCUUCUGCUAUUCCAUUACUUUUAUAAGGGAAGAGGAUGUUUUAAUUAUACUCUUCCUCAUUUUCUUAAUUUGCUCUAUCCUAUACUACCUUCAAGUUUCCAGUCUUUUCUUUUCAGCUCUUUUUUAGGAGUCAUUUUUUUCCACAUUAUAACAUGUGCUCCUGACUCUUUAUGUAUCUUCAGGGUUUUUUCCCCAGCAAAUAUACUGGAGUAGUUUUUUUUCCUUCUCCAGUGUAUCUCCAUUUUGCAUAUGAAGAACUGAGGCCAAUGGGGCAGGAUCUAUUUUUGCUUGUUAGUUCCUACCACUUAGCAUGGUACCUAACACAAUAAUAGUUCAAUAAAUUCUCUCUGUCCCUUGGUCUGUCUCA
rnacentral:lncRNA from 1 species